GUCACCAUGAAUUGUGUCUAGCAGAUGUUUUGUGCCUAACAGAAACACACCUGCGGGGCUCUUUUGUCGCAGAGAGUCUCCAUUUGGAAAAUUACAAUUUGUUCAAACGCAACAGACACCUGUCCUACACAAACUUUCCCCAGAUGGCAAACAGAAAUGGUGGUGGAGUUGCUGUUUAUGUGAAAAGUGACAUUCAAGUGCAUGAAAAACAGUACAUCCAUAAUGUAACUGACCUUGAAUUUCUGGCUUUAAAGGUUGAAGCACCAGUCAGUGCUCUAAUUGCAGUUGUGUACAGACCUCCAGACUACACUCUGAGGCCAUUCCUGAAAAACCUGCCAGAGCGAUGUCUCCAUUCUGGAGUCAUGAAGACCUACUAUAGUUACCAUGACCCUGUAUACUGUGUAUUGUCCUGUGAUGAUUCAUGAUCUAGAUCUUUGACUACAAGCUGAGACACUCAGGACUGAACAGACUGCACAGUUUCUGUGACCGAGCCUCCAAAACACCUUCUUUGAAACCACACAUGAUAGAAGGGCUUUAUAUUUGCAGCAGCACUACUAAAGUCGGCAGGAAUGUUGCUGCAGGAAAACAUCCCUGAAGAUCACCAUCAUUGUCAGACUGACUGUGCCUCCUCUGUGCAGUGUCAAGAUCCUCCCUAAAUGAGUGUUCCUCAGCUAUCCUGCUUCUGUGCUGCUUGCCACACAUC